rnacentral:rRNA from 1 species
AGCGGCGGACGGGUGAGUAACACGUGGGCAACCUGCCUCAUAGAGGGGGAUAGCCUCCCGAAAGGGAGAUUAAUACCGCAUAACACUGCGGAUUCGCAUGAAACUGCAGUUAAAGGAGCAAUCCGCUAUGAGAUGGGCCCGCGGCGCAUUAGCUAGUUGGUAGGGUAAUGGCCUACCAAGGCGACGAUCGGUAGCCGGACUGAGAGGUCGGCCGGCCGCAUUGGGACUGAGACACGGCCCAGACUCCUACGGGAGGCAGCAGUGGGGAAUAUUGCGCAAUGGGGGAAACCCUGACGCAGCGACGCCGCGUGAAGGAAGAAGGCCUUCGGGUUGUAAACUUCUUUGAUCGGGGACGAAGGAAGACGGUACCCGAGGAACAAGCCACGGCUAACUACGUGCCAGCAGCCGCGGUAAUACGUAGGUGGCGAGCGUUGUCCGGAAUUACUGGGCGUAAAGGGCGUGUAGGCGGGGGGACAAGUCAGAUGUGAAAUACCGCAGCUUAACUGCGGGGCUGCAUCUGAAACUGUUCUUCUUGAGUGUCGGAGAGGAAAGUGGAAUU